rnacentral:rRNA from 1 species
UACAGAGGGGGCAAGCGUUGUUCGGAAUUACUGGGCGUAAAGGGCGCGUAGGCGGCCUUCUAAGUCGAACGUGAAAUCCCCGGGCUCAACCCGGGAACUGCGUCCGAUACUGGGAGGCUUGAAUCCGGGAGAGGGAUGUGGAAUUCCAGGUGUAGCGGUGAAAUGCGUAGAUAUCAGGAAGAACACCCCGUGGCGAAGGCGGCUCUCUGGAACGCAACUGACGCUGAGACGCGAAAGCGUGGGGAG